AACGCGAAGAACCUUACCAGCUUUUGACAUGUCCGGUAUGGUCGUCAGAGAUGACUUCCUUCCCGCAAGGGGCCGGAACACAGGUGCUGCAUGGCUGUCGUCAGCUCGUGUCGUGAGAUGUUGGGUUAAGUCCCGCAACGAGCGCAACCCUCGCCCUUAGUUGCCAUCAUUAAGUUGGGCACUCUAAGGGGACUGCCGGUGAUAAGCCGCGAGGAAGGUGGGGAUGACGUCAAGUCCUCAUGGCCCUUACAGGCUGGGCUACACACGUGCUACAAUGGCGGUGACAAUGGGACGCAAUGGAGAAAUCCUGCGCAAAUCUCAAAAAGCCGUCUCAGUUCGGAUUGUGCUCUGCAACUCGAGCACAUGAAGUUGGAAUCGCUAGUAAUCGCAGAUCAGCACGCUGCGGUGAAUACGUUCCCGGGCCUUGUA
rnacentral:rRNA from 1 species